CUUGCUUUCUCGAGCGAGUGGCGAACGGGUGAGUAACGCGUGAGGAACCUGCCUCAAAGAGGGGGACAACAGUUGGAAACGACUGCUAAUACCGCAUAAGCCCACGACCCGGCAUCGGGUAGAGGGAAAAGGAGCAAUCCGCUUUGAGAUGGCCUCGCGUCCGAUUAGCUAGUUGGUGAGGUAAUGGCCCACCAAGGCGACGAUCGGUAGCCGGACUGAGAGGUUGAACGGCCACAUUGGGACUGAGACACGGCCCAGACUCCUACGGGAGGCAGCAGUGGGGAAUAUUGCACAAUGGGGGAAACCCUGAUGCAGCGACGCCGCGUGGAGGAAGAAGGUCUUCGGACUGUAAACUCCUGUUGUUGAGGAAGAUAAUGACGGUACUCAACAAGGAAGUGACGGCUAACUACGUGCCAGCAGCCGCGGUAAAACGUAGGUCACAAGCGUUGUCCGGAAUUACUGGGUGUAAAGGGAGCGCAGGCGGGAAGACAAGUUGGAAGUGAAAUCCAUGGGCUCAACCCAUGAACUGCUUUCAAAACUGUUUUUCUUGAGUAGUGCAGAGGUAGGCGGAAUUCCCGGUGUAGCGGUGGAAUGCGUAGAUAUCGGGAGGAACAC
rnacentral:rRNA from 1 species